UACGGGGGGGGCAAGCGUUGUUCGGAAUUACUGGGCGUAAAGGGCUCGUAGGCGGCCAACUAAGUCAGACGUGAAAUCCCUCGGCUUAACCGGGGAACUGCGUCUGAUACUGGAUGGCUUGAGUGUGGGAGAGGGAUGCGGAAUUCCAGGUGUAGCGGUGAAAUGCGUAGAUAUCUGGAGGAACACCGGUGGCGAAGGAGGCAUCCUGGACCAUUACUGACGCUGAUGAGCGAAAGCCAGGGGAGCAAACGGG
rnacentral:rRNA from 1 species